rnacentral:rRNA from 1 species
AAGUUCCCUUCGGGGAGCGAGUACAGCGGCGCACGGGUGAGUAACACGUAGGUAACCUACCCUGGGGAUCGGGAUACCCUGUCGAAAGACGGGCUAAUACCGGAUAAGACCACGGGAGCCUCGGCUCCUGAGGUAAAAGAUGGCCUAUGCUUGCAAGCUAUUACCCCGGGAUGGGCCUGCGCACCAUUAGCUAGUUGGUGAGGUAACGGCUCACCAAGGCGAAGAUGGUUAGCUGGUCUGAGAGGAUGAUCAGCCACACUGGGACUGAGACACGGCCCAGACUCCUACGGGAGGCAGCAGUGGGGGAUAUUGCGCAAUGGGCGAAAGCCUGACGCAGCGACGCCGCGUGGGUGAUGAAGGCCUUCGGGUCGUAAAGCCCUGUCAGGAGGGACGAAACCUCGCCGACCUAAUAUGUCGGCGACCUGACGGUACCUCCAAAGGAAGCACCGGCUAACUCCGUGCCAGCAGCCGCGGUAAUACGGAGGGUGCGAGCGUUGUUCGGAAUCACUGGGCGUAAAGCGCGUGUAGGCGGCUUCUUAAGUCUGGUGUGAAAUCCCGGGGCUCACCCCC